AUGACAGCACUCCAGCUCCGUGGCCCCCUUCUCCCUCCUCUAUAUCCCUCUGCUUGGAAGGAACAAAGACGCCGAGGGCAGGUCCAUGUCGUAGAGGUGCGGCUGGGAGUAUCUUCCACACCCAGCCUGCCAUCCGUCUUGCGUGAUGGUGGGCCAAAUUUAUGCUAUCUUACAGUGGCAGGGCCGGCAGAGACACAAGCGUCAAUCUCCCCUAUGAGGCCACCACAGGACACUCACUGCCAGCCAGGUGGAAGGAGAGCUGCACUCCGACAGUGCACACACAGUGCCCAGGGUGAGUUUCUAGCUAUCUUCUGAAGGGGAAAAAGAGGAUAGACACCUCUCAGUGGAGAAAGGCCCACUCAUCUAACUGGAGACUGCCCCUGACUGCCUGAAAAUCCACAGUGAGUAAAUUACCAAUGUCUAUCUCAUGCUGUCAUUUCUCCCAGUGAGAGAAAAGUCACUCUCUUGUUUCUAAAUAAACUUAAAGCACUUCUAUAUUCAGAGGGCCAGGCAGAAAUCCCAUCAGUAUAGUAUCUAGGACAGUUAAGAAGCUCCUUCCUAUACUGUCUCAGGGUCUAGUGAGCAUGCCCUGGGUAUUCUAGUGGACGUGCUCACUUCCUGACCCUUCUCUGUUAUGCUGUCUCUGAAGACAUUAUGAGGUUAGGUGAGCUCCAAGAUCAUGGGAUAAUGGAAGAAGCAAUAGGCACUUCUACUCUGGACUCCUGUUUGUUCUUUAACAGAGUAUCUGAAGUAAAACACAUCCCACGUUACAAGACUGAUUUCCUUCUGAAAUCUCCAUCUGUAAUCCUUGUAGUAACAUAACUAUGACUUUUCUCCCCCAGUGAACAAAUUUCUCUGACAGGGUUUGCUGAAAGAGAAUUUGUCUCCUACCUGUUCUGGCCUUCAUUGUUAAGUUUUUGUUACACUUCACCUGAUUUUCCUAAUUGUUUUGAGGUCUGUAGGUGGGUAGGGCUGGUUUAUAGGGUCACUAAAAGUAAUCAAUAAGCAAUCAGUAUUAAUAGAAAACACUUUUAUCUGAGCCAAACUGAGGACUGUAACCUAGAAGCCAUGUUAUCCCCAGAUUACUCUGAGAAACUGCUCCUGAGAAGCAUGGUUUUCAGUACAGUUUUGUAUCUUGUCAAAACAAAGAACAUUAAAAUUGAUGCAGCUGCUGUGAAGACCAGUAUGGGGGUUCCUUAAAAAUUAAAAAUAGAACUACCAUAACCCAGUAACCCCACUACUGAUACCCAGAGAAAACCAUAAUUUAAAAAGAUACAUGCAUACCAGUGUUCAUAGCAGCACUGUUUACAAUAGCCAGGAAUGGAAGCAAGCAAAGCAUCCAUCAACAGAGGAACGGUAAAGAGGAUGGGCACAUACAUAUACACAAUGGAAUAUUAUGCAGCCAUUAAAGCGAGAGUUGCUCAGUUGUGUCUGACUCUUUGCGACCCCACAAACUAUAUAGUUCAUGGAAUUCUCCAGACCAGAAUACUGGAGUGGAUAGCCUUUCCCUUCCCCAGGGGACCUUCCCAAUCCAGGGAUUGAUCACAGGUCGCCUGCAUUGCAGGAGGAUUCCUUACCUGCUGAGCCACAAGGGAAGCCCAGUGCAGCCAUUAAAAAGGACCAAAAUUGGGUCAUUUGUGUAGACAUGGAUGGACUUAGAGACUGUCAUACAGAGUGAAGGAAGUUCGAAAGAGAAAAACAAAUAUUGUAUAUUAAUGCAUAUAUGUGCAAUCUAGAAAAAACGGUAUUAAUGAUCUUAUUUGAAAAGCAGCAAUAGAGACACAGAUGUGGAGAACAAAUGUAUGAAAACCAAGGGAGGAAGAGGCAGUGGGAUCAAUUAUAUGGGAACUCACACAUACACACAUACAUAUUUAUGGGUGUGCUCAGCUGCUUCAGUCAUGUUUGACUCUUUGUGACCCUAUGUACUGAAGCCUACCAGGCUCCUCUGUCCAUGGGAUUCUCCAGUCAAGAAUCCUGGAGUGGAUUGCCAUGUCCUCCUCCAGGGGAUCUUUGAGACCCAGGGAUUGAACCUAAGCCACUGGGGAAAUAUAUAUAUAUAUAUCCCCUGGAGAAGGAAAUGGCUACCCGCUCUUGUAUUCCUGCCUGGGGAAUCCCAUAGACAGAGGAGACUGUUGGGCUCCAGAGGAUUGGUAGGUUACAGUCUGUGGGGUUGCAAAAAGUCAGACAUGACUGAUCAUUUUUCUCUUCUUUGAUAAUAUGCGUAAAAUAGAAAACUAGUGAGUACCUUCUGUACAGCUCAGGGAACUCAGUGCUUUGUGGUGACCUAAAUGGGAAGAAAAUUCAGAAAUGAAGGGUAUUUGUAUAUGUAUCCCUGAUUCACUUUGCUGUACAGUAGAAAUGAACUCAAGAUUGUAAAGCAACUGUACUCCAAUAAAAAUUAGUUUUCAAAAAGAACAAAGAACAUUAAAUAAGUCAAGGAUAUGUUCCAUUAAGAUUAAAAAAAAAAAAAAAAAACAACUGGAAAACCACACUAGCACAUAUAUACAGAGAGUCAGUAUGGCCUUGGCACCUGAGAAGGGAGUCUUAUUAUCAAAGAAGUGCCAGAAAUUCUUCCCAGGAAGAGAGGCAUUUAAUCUUUAUUUUUAACAUGGACAUUAUUUGCUUCUGGUCAAUGUGCCCUUUUGUUUAAUAGUUAAAGAAGGUGUGCAAUAUAUGUUUGCUAGGCCACAAACAGAUUGUUCUAGUCAAUGUAAAAUUCAGUUAACUCAUGUGCAAGCCAAAAUAACUUCAUCAUACUUCAAUGUAUGAGAAUUUCUUUUAACAAUAACCCACUCCCUAAAUCCCUUUCUGUACAGCAAGGCUUCAAUAGGUUAACUUUGUCUUUUUUCCCAUACAUACUCCACCCAUGUUAUAUAACCUGCUUUGUUGACUAUAUAAUAAUGAGCAAUUUCCCUCUCCAAUAAAUUUUUGCCUAUAGUGUCCUAACACAACAUCCCUUUGCACAUAUGGACAGAAAUUCAUUUAACCAAGUCUUUUGUUGAGCACUUAGAUAUUUUUUGGUUUGUCAUGUUCAUAAAUGAAGGAGAAAGUUCUGAAUGUCAUAUUUCUGCAACCAGUUCUUGCUGCUGCUAAGUCACUUCAGUCGUGUCUGACUCUGUGUGACCCCAU
rnacentral:lncRNA from 1 species